UCAAACCGGGAGAUAGCUGGUUCUCCCCGAAAGCUAUUUAGGUAGCGCCUCGUGAAUUCAUCUCCGGGGGUAGAGCACUGUUUCGGCUAGGGGGCCAUCCCGGCUUACCAACCCGAUGCAAACUGCGAAUACCGGAGAAUGUUAUCACGGGAGACACACGGCGGGUGCUAACGUCCGUCGUGAAGAGGGAAACAACCCAGACCGCCAGCUAAGGUCCCAAAGUCAUGGUUAAGUGGGAAACGAUGUGGGAAGGCCCAGACAGCCAGGAUGUUGGCUUAGAAGCAGCCAUCAUUUAAAGAAAGCGUAAUAGCUCACUGGUCGAGUCGGCCUGCGCGGAAGAUGUAACGGGGCUAAACCAUGCACCGAAGCUGCGGCAGCGAACGUAUCACCCAAGACAACUUUACGGAGUUGACGAUUGACGGAGCGAAGCGACGUCAAAGCGUUCAUUAAAGUCGAGUUGGCUUAGGGAUACGUUCGUUGGGUAGGGGAGCGUUCUGUAAGCCUGUGAAGGUGUGUCGUGAGGCAUGCUGGAGGUAUCAGAAGUGCGAAUGCUGACAUAAGUAACGAUAAAGCGGGUGAAAAGCCCGCUCGCCGGAAGACCAAGGGUUCCUGUCCAACGUUAAUCGGGGCAGGGUGAGUCGACCCCUAAGGCGAGGCCGAAAGGCGUAGUCGAUGGGAAACGGGUUAAUAUUCCCGUACUUGGUGUUACUGCGAAGGGGGGACGGAGAAGGCUAUGUUGGCCGGGCGACGGUUGUCCCGGUUUAAGCGUGUAGGUGUGUGUUCCAGGUAAAUCCGGUUCACUUUAACACUGAGGCGUGACGACGAGGCACUACGGUGCUGAAGCAACAAAUGCCCUGCUUCCAGGAAAAGCCUCUAAGCAUCAGGUAACAUCAAAUCGUACCCCAAACCGACACAGGUGGUCAGGUAGAGAAUACCAAGGCGCUUGAGAGAACUCGGGUGAAGGAACUAGGCAAAAUGGUGCCGUAACUUCGGGAGAAGGCACGCUGACACGUAGGUGAAGUGAUUUACUCAUGGAGCUGAAGUCAGUCGAAGAUACCAGCUGGCUGCAACUGUUUAUUAAAAACACAGCACUGUGCAAACACGAAAGUGGACGUAUACGGUGUGACGCCUGCCCGGUGCCGGAAGGUUAAUUGAUGGGGUCAGCGCAAGCGAAGCUCCUGAUCGAAGCCCCGGUAAACGGCGGCCGUAACUAUAACGGUCCUAAGGUAGCGAAAUUCCUUGUCGGGUAAGUUCCGACCUGCACGAAUGGCGUAAUGAUGGCCAGGCUGUCUCCACCCGAGACUCAGUGAAAUUGAACUCGCUGUGAAGAUGCAGUGUACCCGCGGCAAGACGGAAAGACCCCGUGAACCUUUACUAUAGCUUGACACUGAACAUUGAGCCUUGAUGUGUAGGAUAGGUGGGAGGCUUUGAAGUGUGGACGCCAGUCUGCAUGGAGCCGACCUUGAAAUACCACCCUUUAAUGUUUGAUGUUCUAACGUGGACCCGUAAUCCGGGUUGCGGACAGUGUCUGGUGGGUAGUUUGACUGGGGCGGUCUCCUCCUAAAGAGUAACGGAGGAGCACGAAGGUUGGCUAAUCCUGGUCGGACAUCAGGAGGUUAGUGCAAUGGCAUAAGCCAGCUUGACUGCGAGCGUGACGGCGCGAGCAGGUGCGAAAGCAGGUCAUAGUGAUCCGGUGGUUCUGAAUGGAAGGGCCAUCGCUCAACGGAUAAAAGGUACUCCGGGGAUAACAGGCUGAUACCGCCCAAGAGUUCAUAUCGACGGCGGUGUUUGGCACCUCGAUGUCGGCUCAUCACAUCCUGGGGCUGAAGUAGGUCCCAAGGGUAUGGCUGUUCGCCAUUUAAAGUGGUACGCGAGCUGGGUUUAGAACGUCGUGAGACAGUUCGGUCCCUAUCUGCCGUGGGCGCUGGAGAACUGAGGGGGGCUGCUCCUAGUACGAGAGGACCGGAGUGGACGCAUCACUGGUGUUCGGGUUGUCAUGCCAAUGGCACUGCCCGGUAGCUAAAUGCGGAAGAGAUAAGUGCUGAAAGCAUCUAAGCACGAAACUUGCCCCGAGAUGAGUUCUCCCUGAGACUUAGAGUCUCCUGAAGGAACGUUGAAGACGACGACGUUGAUAGGCCGGGUGUGUAAGCGCAGCGAUGCGUUGAGCUAACCGGUACUAAUGAACCGUGAGGCUUAACCUUACA
rnacentral:rRNA from 1 species